CAGCGGGCUCGGCCUCCGGGCGCAGGCGCGGUGCGAGCGCCGGCUGGGUCUCCGGCGUCCUCCUCGGUGGAGCUCACGCUGCCGGGAGCGUCGGGAUGAGCGCGGUGGAGGCCGACCACUGGGCGUGGCUGCUGGUCCUCUGCUUCGUGUUUGGGUGCAAUGUCCUCAGGAUCCUCCUCCCGUCCUUCUCCUCCUUCAUGUCCAGGGUGCUGCAGAAGGAUGCAGAGCAGGAGUCUCAGAUGAGAGCAGAGAUCCAGGACAUGAAGCAGGAACUCUCCACUGUCAACAUGAUGGACGAGUUCGCCAGAUACGCCAGGCUGGAAAGGAAGAUCAACAAGAUGACAGAUAAGCUCAAAACUCAUGUGAAAGCACGGACAGCGCAGUUGGCCAAGAUCAAGUGGGUUAUGAGUGUUGCCUUCUACGUAUUGCAGGCUGCCCUGAUGGUCUCCCUCAUUUGGAAGUAUUAUUCUGUUCCUGUGGCUGUGGUGCCCAGUAAAUGGAUAACUCCGCUCGACCGGCUGGUGGCGUUUCCCACUAGAGUAGCAGGUGGUGUUGGAAUCACCUGUUGGAUUUUAGUCUGUAACAAAGUUGUGGCUAUUAUGCUUCAUCCUUUCAGCUGAAAAAGAAGGAUACAGCUCUGAGACUUUGAAAAAUGAAUUUUCAUGUAGGUUAAAAAGCUGACUUAAACUGUUUUAUUGUCUUGUAUUUGUUUAAGAAACAAAAGAGUGCAGGUUAGUUCUUUUGGUGAACCUGCUUGUUCUUGGAUUUUAUGUGAGAUUCUUAGAAGAAUUAAAUUUGUACACUUGUCAUUGAGGCAGAGAGGUCUGUCACGCCUCUGUACUGGCCAGCAAGCAGCAGAUUUGUGAUAAGAAAUGUGACAUUACAGGCAUCUAUCUACAUGUUGUUACUUGUGAUUUGCACACUUGGCAUAUUUUAAGUAUGCUUUUUAAAAAUUGAUUGCAGGGAUGUGAAGGGAGAGGGAGAGAGAGGGAGAAACAUCAAUGAUGAGAGAAAAUUAUUAAUUGGCUGCCUCUCAUGCACGAACCCUAUUGGAGAUCAAGCCUGAAACCUGGGCAUGUGCCCUGACCAGAAAUCGAACUGUGACCUGGUUCAUGGGUUGAUGCUCAAUAACUGAGCCACACUGGCUGGGCAUUCUCUUGGCAUAUUUUAAAGGUCACAUUGCCAAUUGGAAAGUCAACAUUUUCUCAUAAUUUAAGUACUUUAAAGACUUCAUACUACUUUUAAUCCAGAUUAGAAAGCAAUUUAAUAUCACUACUAGAAUUUGAAAAUUUGUUUUUUAAUCUGAUGCAGCACCACUGAGAAUAACACUAACUGACAUUGCCUGUGCUUAUCUUUGGUUUAAAAUGUCAUCUGUUGAGCAAGCCUUGGUGGAGUAUUAUCUCCUUAUUUGAAGCUGUUAUUUUUUCAUUUCCGAGUUUUAUAAAUGUAUUUGUGAGAUCAUUACACAUUGUUUUGUGCUUGAAUUUUGUGUUUUGUACUUAAAGCAUUUCAAAUGAAAUGUAUUUAUAAGCAUUUAAUAUUUAUGCUCCAUAGAACGGAACAAAAUUAAACAAAGUAGGAAGCCUGAUUAAAUUCAUUUAAAUAGAUACAUGUUUGGCCCAUAAAGUAUAAUGCUGCUAAAUAUUUUUACAACACUUCUUUACUAAUUAAAAUCUUUGCAAGUGCUUGUAUGACUUCCUUACAGCUACUCAUUUGCUGUGACCAGUCUGUAACUGACAAGUGGCAGAGGGCUUUAACCAUUAACUACGUCGGCUGCAGCACCUGGAAGCCAGAUUCCAUCACUAGGUUUGAAAAGAUCAUGUUCUUGUGCUCCUUAGUGACCCAGUGAGGAGCUCGCUGUGCUUCCUGCUGGUUGUACCAUGAAAUGACAAAGCGCUGUGUUACUUCCGUUUAUCGGACUGGAGUGGUCUCAGGUUCCCUGGUCAUCCCGACUUACCUGGCAGCAGGUUGACGUGGCUUUGAGGAAGGAUGCAGAGCCAGGAGCACAGCUGUUUCUACAGACAGCAUCGUGAGAGCUCCGACUCCAGCUUCCACUGUCAGUCACCACAGGGCACAUGUGGCCACAAGGGUGACGAGGACUGAACAGAACUCACCACAGUUACUUUAGAAUCUCCAAAAGCAUUGCUGGCGGAGGCCUGACUAGAGGGUGGCUGCUGUAUCUUACUUUUCCAAGUCUCCUCAGACCCUUCAGUAGCAGGACUUGCUUGGUCGUUUUUAAAGACACAGCCUGAUCCAAAGAGUUCCUCCAUGAGAUUGCUCUUCUUUGCUCUGAAAGUUUCGUCUUUUGCUUUUGUUCUGGAAGACUUACCAAAAGAGGGCUCGUACCCGCCCCCGGAGUGCCUGGGCGUCAGCUCUUUGGCGCCCCCGCGCUGUUUGCCUGUGCUGUGGUUGCAUCUCCAGGCACCUGGUUUGGCUGGCCCACCGGACGCAGGAAGCCCGUGAUGCAGGUUUUCCGUGGCUUCUGUGAAUAAAUAAUGCUUUCUUUGUCGGA